UUACGCCCACAUCAUGUUGAAACACUGGUUCCUGUAUGAUCACCAAAGUUAAGAAACAUCAAGCCUGGUCAGUACCUAAAUGGGUGCCCACUUGGGAAUACCAGAUGCUGUAAG